UACGUAGGGUGCAAGCGUUAAUCGGAAUUACUGGGCGUAAAGCGUGCGCAGGCGGUUGUGCAAGACAGAUGUGAAAUCCCCGGGCUCAACCUGGGAAUUGCAUUUGUGACUGCACGGCUAGAGUGUGUCAGAGGGGGGUAGAAUUCCACGUGUAGCAGUGAAAUGCGUAGAGAUGUGGGAGGAAUACCGAUGGCGAAGGCAGCCCCCUGGGAUAACACUGACGCUCAUGCACGAAAGCGUGGGGAGCAAACAGG
rnacentral:rRNA from 1 species